rnacentral:rRNA from 1 species
GUGGGGAAUAUUGGACAAUGGGCGCAAGCCUGAUCCAGCCAUGCCGCGUGAGUGAUGAAGGCCUUAGGGUUGUAAAGCUCUUUUGUCCGGGAAGAUAAUGACUGUACCGGAAGAAUAAGCCCCGGCUAACUUCGUGCCAGCAGCCGCGGUAAUACGAAGGGGGCUAGCGUUGCUCGGAAUCACUGGGCGUAAAGGGCGCGUAGGCGGACUCUUAAGUCGGGGGUGAAAGCCCAGGGCUCAACCCUGGAAUAGCCUUCGAUACUGAGAGUCUUGAGUUCGGAAGAGGUUGGUGGAAUUGCGAGUGUAGAGGUGAAAUUCGUAGAUAUUCGCAAGAACACCAGUGGCGAAGGCGGCCAACUGGUCCGAUACUGACGCUGAGGCGCGAAAGCGUGGGGAGCAAACAGGAUUAGAAACCCUAGUAGUCC